rnacentral:rRNA from 1 species
UACGUAAAAUGCAAGCGUUAAUCGGAAUUACUGGGCGUAAAGCGUGCGCAGGCGGUUCUAUAAGACAGAUGUGAAAUCCCCAAACUCAACCUAAGAACUGCAUUUGUGACUGUAGAGCUGGAGUACGGCAGAGGGGGAUGGAAUUCCGCGUGUAGCAGUGAAAUGCGUAGAUAUGCGGAGGAGCACCGAUGGCGAAGGCAAUCCCCUGGGCCUGUACUGACGCUCAUGCACGAAAGCGUGAAAAACAAACAGG